AUUUCUCAGUUUUAUUUCUCUUAAUUAGAACUGUUGAUGUAGUUUUUUUUGCUUUAUAUUCAAGUAGAAGUAGUCAAAGCUUUGGUUUUUGCAUCUGAGUUCAGUUUAAUUAAGCAUUUUUUGCAUAUAAGAGGGUAGCAAGUCAGUUUUGGCAAUUUAUUAACCUGGAGAGAUUUUGGGCCAAUUUUUUUCUUUCUUGUGUGAUUUCAUGCAUGCUUGAUUUUCAUUCUGAUUUUGCAUUGAUUCUUUGUGAAAAGCUUGCUCUUAGUGGACUCUAGACAUGAUUUAGGCAUUGUUUCUUACCAUCCAUAACCAUUUAUUUUACUCAUUUCAGUUUCUCUGACCAUUGUAUCUUAUUUUGAGCCUUAGCCAUUUUCUUUGUUUCCAUACAUUACAAGCCAUUUUCCCACCAAAUACUUGACCUGUAGAGACAUGUGAGAGGGAUGAAGGAUCUAGGAACUUAGUGAGUGCAAAAGAGAAAAAGAAAGGCCAAGAAAAAGAAAAGAAAAAUAAGAAGAGCAAUCUGGUGGUGUUGAAAAAAAAGAAGAGAAAAGAGCAGGUCUGGAAAAAGAGAUAAUGCAAAAGAAUUGAAAGAAAAAUGAGACCUGAUAGUGUGUGAAAACCAGAGAGAAAGAAAAGAAAUUGGACUGGCCGAAUUAUCAAAGACAAUGCACUUAGUUUAGGUUCUCCUCUUCUUCACAGUUUCUAUUUCCAUAUAGCCUUGUAUUUUCUAACCUUUCAUACCAUGACAUUACAAGCUAAUAAAGUCCUUUUGAUCUAGAUGAAACUAAAAAGUUGAGCAUGGUCACUUAGAGUCCUUUCUGUUGGUAUCGGAAGGGUUAAUUUUUAAAAGAGUUUAGCGCAGCGGAUUAAAACACAGAGAGCGUAAAGCGUAA
rnacentral:lncRNA from 1 species